GUGUGUGUGUGUGUGUGUGUGUGUUUGUGUGUGUGUUUAUACGAAUAAUUACUAUGAAGCACUGUGUAGAAUAUAUGUAUAAAAGAUCGUGGGUA